CCUACGGGAGGCUGCAGUAGGGAAGAUUGCUCAAUGGGGGAAACCCUGAAGCAGCAACGCCGCGUGGAGGAUGAAGGUUUUCGGAUUGUAAACUCCUUUUGUUAGAGAAGAGAAUGACGGUAGCUAACGAAUAAGCACCGGCUAACUCCGUGCCAGCAGCCGCGGUAAUACGGAGGGUGCAAGCGUUACGCGGAAUCACUGGGCGUAAAGAGCGCGUAGGCGGGAUAGCAAGUCAGAUGUGAAAUCCUAUGGCUUAACCCUAGAACUGCAUUUGAAACUGUUAUUCUAGAGUAUGGGAGAGGUAGGUGGACUUCUUGGUGUAGUGGUCACAUCCGU
rnacentral:rRNA from 1 species